ACUCCUUGGCUUGGCAGACAUGUUGCGUCGCCGGGUCGCAUUGUUCUUGUCAAGGCGGUCCUCACUGCUAUAGCAAUCUACCACCUCACUCCUCUGGAUCUGCCAGUCGAGGUCAUCAAGGCAAUUGACAGUAUUAGACGCGCUUAUCUUUGGGCGGGAUGUGAAAAGGUCACCGGCGGGAAAUGCAAAAUUAAUUGGGAGACGGUGUGCAAGCCCAAGUUAUAUGGUGGAUUGAGCGUCCUCAACUUGCAAAAGUUUGCUACCGCUCUCCGCUUGCGAUGGCUUUGGUUUGAGUGGGAUGACCCCACUAAACCUUGGAUUGGCAUGGGCACGCCAUGCACUGACGAUGAUAGAAAUCUUUUUGCGGCUGCCGCUCAUGUUACCAUUGGUGAUGGUCAUCGGGCCACUUUCUGGGAAUCAUCUUGGGUGGACGGUAUUCGCCCCAAGGAUAUUGCUCCAAAGAUCUUUGAUCUCUCCAGGAAGAAAAGAAGCUCCGUUCGCUCGAGUCUCACAGACAACGCUUGGGUCCGCAACAUUGAUACCUCUCAGGGCCUCACUUUUGAGCAUAUUGAGCAAUUCGCCACCCUUUGGAAGAAGCUCUCCAAUGUCAUUCUAACCCCUGGAGUUGACGAUGCAAUUUUUUGGAAGUUCACUAAAGAUGGGGUAUACUCCGCGUCUUCUGCAUACAAUGCUCAGUUU
rnacentral:rRNA from 1 species